rnacentral:rRNA from 1 species
UACGGGGGGGGGCAAGCGUUGUUCGGAAUUACUGGGCGUAAAGGGCUCGUAGGUGGCCAACUAAGUCAGACGUGAAAUCCCUCAGCUUAACUGGGGAACUGCGUCUGAUACUGGAUGGCUUGAGUUUGGGAGAGGGAUGCGGAAUUCCAGGUGUAGCGGUGAAAUGCGUAGAUAUCUGGAGGAACACCGGUGGCGAAGGCGGCAUCCUGGACCAACACUGACGCUGAGGCACGAAAGCGUGGGGAGCAAACAGG